AUCACCUUCCAGGAAGGAGCUGGACAGGCUCCCUUGGUGCUGAACGCUGUCUCUACCCUUGAGUGGGUGGGUGAGGUACAGCCAUGUCCAGACCAUGACCUGAAAAUGGAAAGAAACCCCAGCAAUCCUUCCCUUACAGUGAGUAACUUCUUUUCCGUCACGAUGGCACUGUCACUUUUUGACAGGUAGGUUAGAUUUCAAAACAGCAAUCCUCCCUUGGAGAGGCUGGCAGGAAAGUGCUCAAAACCCCUCCCCAGCUCCCAUGGCCUUGGACAGCAAAUCAAACCUUCUGCACCUUAAUGUCACUACAUGCAAAGUGGGAAUAAGCUUACCCCUCCCAGGGUUGGGCAUACAUGUGGUCAAGAGCCAACCUGGCCUCCAAAAUAUGGCGGCUCCCAGGGAUCUGCCCAACCUCUGUCGUACAUGAAUAGUUUCCUCAAGCCUAAGGACAUGCCAUGUAAUCCAGAUGAUGGGACAAACAUGGUGCUGAAAUCUGUUGGAUUCCCUCUCCAUGAUCUCAUUAGCUGCCCAUCUUUAAGGAAGUUGAUGUAAUUGAUGAGGAGUGAGACACACAGUGCUGAACUUGGGCCCCUCACUGGGAAAAUGAGAGAGGAUCUUGCCUUGGUGUUGUGGGCCCAUUUUGAUGUUUAAGGAUCUCUACCCCACCAAAGGCGUCUGGCAGUUACUCCAAGAAGAGAUGGGAAGCGUGCAGCCUACCCACCUUCCUUGCCAGAAGGGGCAAGAAUGGUAACUGGUCACCCACCAGGCUCUCUCGUCUCCUAGGCCUUCAGGCUUCAAGGGUGGAAAGUGCUCCUUCUGUAACAGCAGCUGCAUCCGGCCCUCCAGGGACCCCCCACCAGUGUCCACACGUUUCUGGUUGAUUUUCUCAGGG
rnacentral:lncRNA from 1 species